GUUUGCACUUGUCGGGGAAGGGUGAGAACCUUCGAUUAAGGUUCGACUCGAGCGAAAGCGAGAGAACGUUGCCAACGGCAACGGCCCGAAGGGUGAGGAGCGAAGCGACGAAUAAUCCUUACCCCACCACCA
rnacentral:sRNA from 7 species